rnacentral:rRNA from 1 species
AACGCGUGGGAAUAUACCCAGAUCUAAGGAAUAGCCACUGGAAACGGUGAGUAAUACCUUAUACGCCCUUCGGGGGAAAGAUUUAUCGGAUUUGGAUUAGCCCGCGUUAGAUUAGAAAGUUGGUGGGGUAAUGGCCUACCAAGUCUACGAUCUAUAGCUGGUUUUAGAGGAUGAUCAGCAACACUGGGACUGAGACACGGCCCAGACUCCUACGGGAGGCAGCAGUGGGGAAUCUUAGACAAUGGGCGCAAGCCUGAUCUAGCCAUACCGCGUGAGUGAUGAAGGCCUUAGGGUCGUAAAGCUCUUUCGCCAGGGAAGAUAAUGACUGUACCUGGUAAAGAAGUCCCGGCUAACUCCGUGCCAGCAGCCGCGGUAAUACGGAGGGGACUAGCGUUGUUCGGAAUUACUGGGCGUAAAGCGCACGUAGGCGGACCAGAAAGUAUGGGGUGAAAUCCCAGGGCUCAACCCUGGAACUGCCUCAUAAACUCCUGGUCUAGAGUUCGAGAGAGGUGAGUGGAAUUCCGAGUGUAGAGGUGAAAUUCGUAGAUAUUCGGAGGAACACCAGUG